UUUCUUGCCUUGGAAUAAUUUUAAAUUGAAGUAUCGUAUUUACAUUUCAGAAAUCUCCGUGGUUGUUCAUUUAUAGUAUCUUUUUCUUCUUCCUUCUGGAGAAAAACUAGUGGCAGAUAGCUCCCAUUAUGAACCAUUUUGUACAGCACAUUAUCAACUGCUACACUUGGACAAAGAAUGGUUGUGAAGAAACCUUACAAGUAAAUGUACAAAUAAUUGAUGCGUGGGACUGAUACUGAACCCAAAUAAAUCACCUCUCAAGCUUCUGAGAUAGGUCUGCAAGUGCACGAUAAAGAAUUGCUGCAGCAGGUGGCCUUGGUAAUGAGCCACGAAGUAUAUCUGAUGCACUUAUUGACUGGCUUCCAUAAAAUCUGGAAUUCUCUUUCGCACGUGUGGUGACAAUACUCCCUUCAAGUGAACAACCAACAAAUGCUCCUUUACUGCAGCUGUACGUAUAACAAGCAGCAUACCCACCAUCACCAGCCCUCAAAUCAGCUUCAACUGCCCGUCCAAUGACACCAACUGCUGCACUCAAACCAGCACCCAUUGAAACAUGUGCAUUGCCGCAAAAAGUCUUGACAGCAUCAUUUGUUCUCAACACAAUUAUGAAAUCUGUCAAUUCGCCUCCAGCCUGUGCUCCCCAACCCAUGCCAAAUGAAGAUACAGCAGAGGGCGGAGACCAUGAGCCAUCUUCUCUUCGAGCGACUACAAGCCCAGUUCCAACAUUAUAUGUAACCAUCACUCCAACUUUCACAACUGUGAUUAUUGCAAGGCCUUUUGCUUGUCGUAGAAUGGCAUCUGGAAUUGAUUU
rnacentral:misc_RNA from 1 species